AGCUCGAGUUUCUCUUCAUUCACGCAUAAAUCUUUCGCCUUUUACUAAAGAUUUCCGUUGUGGCGAUAUGGAGAAAAACGAUCCAUAUCAGCUUUUUCACAUUUCAUUAUGGGCGGAAAC